rnacentral:rRNA from 1 species
CAGUCGCCGCGGUAAAACGAAGGGUGCAAGCGUUACUCGGAAUUACUGGGCGUAAAGCGUGCGUAGGCGGUUCGUUAAGUCUGUUGUGAAAGCCCCGGGCUCAACCUGGGAAUGGCAAUGGAUACUGGCGAGCUAGAGUGUGUCAGAGGAUGGUGGAAUUCCCGGUGUAGCGGUGAAAUGCGUAGAGAUCGGGAGGAACAUCAGUGGCGAAGGCGGCCAUCUGGGACAACACUGACGCUGAGGCACGAAAGCGUGGGGAGCAAACAGGAUUAGAUACCCGUGUAGUCCCUGUCUCUUAUAA